rnacentral:rRNA from 1 species
ACAGGCUUAACACAUGCAAGUCGAGGGGCAGCAUGAACUUAUCUUGCUAAGUUUGAUGGCAACCGGCGCACGGGUGAGUAACACUUAUCCAACCUGCCGAUGACUCGGGGAUACCCUUUCAAAAGAAAGAUUAAUACCCGAUGGCAUAUUUCUUCCGCAUGGAGGAACUAUUAAAGAAUUUCGGUCAUCGAUGGGGAUGCGUUCCAUUAGGUUGUUGGCGGGGUAACGGCCCACCACGCCUUCGAUGGAUAGGGGUUCUGAGAGGAAGGUCCCCCACAUUGGAACUGAGACACGGCCCAAACUCCUACGGGAGGCAGCAGUGAGGAAUAUUGGUCAAUGGACGAGAGACAGAACCAGCCAAGUAGCGUGAAGGAUGACUGCCCUAUGGGUUGUAAACUUCUUUUAUACAGGAAUAAAGUGAGGCACGUGUGCCUUUUUGUAUGUACCGUAUGAAUAAGGAUCGGCUAACUCCGUGCCAGCAGCCGCGGUAAUACGGAGGAUCCGAGCGUUAUCCGGAUUUAUUGGGUUUAAAGGGAGCGUAGGCGCACGCAUUAGUCAGUUGUGAAAGUUGGCGGCUCAACCGUAAAACUGCAGUUGAUACUGGUUGUCUUGAGUACAGUAGAGGCAGGCGGUAUUCGUGGUGUAGCGGUGAAAUGCUUAGAUAUCACGAACACCUCCGAUUGCGAAGGCAGCUUGCUCGACUGUAACUGACGCUGAUGCUCGAAAGUGUGAGCAUCAAACAGGAUUUGAUCCCCUGGUACUCCCCACAGUCAACCAUUAAGGGGCGUUGUUUGCGAUAUACACUAAGCGGCCAAGCGAAAGCGUUAAGUAUUCCACCUGGGGAGUACGCCGGCAACGGUGAAACUCAAAGGAAUUGACGGGGGCCCGCACAAGCGGACGAACAUGUGGUUUAAUUUGAUGAUACGCGAGGAACGAUACCCGGGCUUGAAUUGCAACUGAAUGCAUGCGGAGACACGUCAGCCGCAAGGCAGUUGUGAAGGUGCGUCAUGGUUGUAGUCAGCUCGUGCCGUGAGGUGUCGGCUUAAGUGCCAUAACGAGCGCAACCCUUAUCGAUAGUUACCAUCAGGUUAUGCUGGGGACUCUGUCGAGAAUGCCGUCGUAAGAUGUGAGGAAGGUGGGGAGGACGUCAAAUCAGCACGGCCCUUACGUCCGGGGCUACACACGUGUUACAAUGGGGGGUACAGAAGGCAGCUACACGGCGACGUGAUGCUAAUCCCUAAAGCCUCUCUCAGUUCGGAUGGGCGUGUGCAACCCGACUCCAUGAAGAUGGAUUCGUUAGUAAUCGCGCAUCAGCCACGGCGCGGUGAAUACGUUCCCGGCCCUUGCACACAGCGCCCUUC